rnacentral:tRNA from 1 species
UCUACCAAAGGAUAAUAGUAUUCCACUGGUCUUAGGCGCC